AAGUAUGAACGAAUUCAGACUGUG
rnacentral:siRNA from 1 species